UGUAGCAGUUUUUUCAUGAUGGAGAACAAAUAUGAAAGUAUUUAAGAUUACUGAGUAUUUAUUUAUUAAAUUGUGUUGGAUCAGGAGCAGAUGAAAACUCACGGUUCAAAAAACGUACAUUUGCAACACAGCAACAUCUAAAGUCUCCCUGCUCUGUCUGCUACAAUAGUGAUGCAUCCACUUGUAGACAAAUAACAUUUACCAUUAACAUCUUUAUUUUUGUCAUCUGAGCUGGAAUCUAGUUUAAAACUUUUUGGCUGGAUAGCUCUGAUAAAGCUUUUUUUUUUUUUUUUUUGCUAUGCUAAUGUUAGCUUGGGCUAACAAAACAAUAGAAAUGCAUGCUGGGAUUUUAAUGUAGGCUAAGGCUCAAUCUGAAUUUCCUCUUUUCCCUACCCGUCCAUUUGUAGUGCUAGGGUUGUCCGAAAUAGUUUUUUAAGGUGAAGCCCUCCAGGCGGAGGGAUACAGCGCCCUCCGCUGUGUGGGUGUUCCGCGUCGUGCUGUGCCGCGGAGGAGAAGCGCUUUUCUUCAAGCACAGAAGUUUACAUCUAAUUGAUCUUCCUCUCCUGGCUGAGUGACCGUCGGAUCUGCGGCACCUCGUGUGGAGACUGAAUGACGUCCAGACUCUUCACUUCAGUGCGGGCUUCCCGGUGACGAUGGCGUCUGUGCCUGGCGCCUUCUUCCGGCCCCUGACUGGACCUGAACUUCCGAGCCAUCCUGUGCCGGCCCCCUCCCGCCGUGCGGUGGUUCGGUCCUGCCGUUUUCUCUUCGCUCAGGGUCACGAGUGGUUGGGCCGCCGGGGGCUCGGGCAUCGGGAUGGUGAUGGACAUCGGCGGCUCAGGCAGGUGCUGCUCCAAAGCGAGGACCACACAGUUGGCAGUGAUGGUGGCCAGGAUCAUGUACUCAAAGGGUGUGAAGACCCAAAGGUUAAGGAGAA